CUUUGGCAAACAUAGCUUGUCUGGUUAGCAAACAUGGCUAGCCAAAUUAGCAGCAUGCAGCAACAAGACGUUGAGGGGAACAGUUUCAAAUCCGUCCAGGCCCACCAUUGAACUUCAUACACAAACACUCAUCGUCUGAUAGAAAUGAAAUGAUUGAAGUGGGACGGGCCGCUACAGAUGAAGUGGAAAGAAGAUAGUAUGACAAAGUGGAGAGAGCGACCUCUCAGGCAUACUAAUGCACUCCAAAGGCCUGUACCUGUCAGCACUUGAGGAGUUCGGGACACGAAUGUGAUGCAGUUCGUGAGAGCGCGGCGAUGAGCUGUUCACUGUGAUCCUGCACCGUGACAGUGGGAGAACUGUCAGGUGUCCAUGUGUUGUGAGUGUGAGCAGGAGGCGGUGUAAUUAUUAGGCCUCCAAAUGGGCACCCGGUGGGGAGCUAACAAGUAGAUGACAGUCUGUCCCAGCAGGUGACACCAGCUGCAACAAAGCCAAAGGGGUGAAGAGGUUCGGAGGAGGGGAGUAUCAGUGAUAGGAGAGGGCAGCUGAUGAAGAAUGGAAGGAGAGAAC
ensembl:lncRNA